rnacentral:rRNA from 1 species
UCUAGGCACCUGGGCGAGCCUGAUCMGCCAUGCCGCGUGUGUGAAGAAGGUCUUCGGAUUGUAAAGCACUUUAAGUUGGGAGGAAGGGCAUUAACCUAAUACGUUAGUGUUUUGACGUUACCGACAGAAUAAGCACCGGCUAACUCUGUGCCAGCAGCCGCGGUAAUACAGAGGGUGCAAGCGUUAAUCGGAAUUACUGGGCGUAAAGCGCGCGUAGGUGGUUUGUUAAGUUGGAUGUGAAAGCCCCGGGCUCAACCUGGGAACUGCAUCCAAAACUGGCAAGCUAGAGUACGGUAGAGGGUGGUGGAAUUUCCUGUGUAGCGGUGAAAUGCGUAGAUAUAGGAAGGAACACCAGUGGCGAAGGCGACCACCUGGACUGAUACUGACACUGAGGUGCGAAAGCGUGGGGAGCAAACAGGAUUAGAUACCCUGGUAGUCCACGCCGUAAACGAUGUCAACUAGCCGUUGGAAUCCUUGAGAUUUUAGUGGCGCAGCUAACGCAUUAAGUUGACCGCCUGGGGAGUACGGCCGCAAGGUUAAAACUCAAAUGAAUUGACGGGGGCCCGCACAAGCGGUGGAGCAUGUGGUUUAAUUCKAAGCMWCGCGAAGAACCUUACCAGGYCUUGACAUGCARAGAACUUUCCARASAUGGAUUGGUGYCUUCGGGAACUCUGACACAGGUGCUGCAUGSCUGUCRUCMRCUCGUG